rnacentral:rRNA from 1 species
CCUACGGGUGACAGCCGUGAGGAAUAUUGGUCAAUGGACGAGAGUCUGAACCAGCCAAGUAGCGUGAAGGAUGACUGCCCUAUGGGUUGUAAACUUCUUUUAUAUGGGAAUAAAACGUUCCACGUGUGGGAUUUUGUAUGUACCAUAUGAAUAAGGAUCGGCUAACUCCGUGCCAGCAGCCGCGGUAAUACGGAGGAUCCGAGCGUUAUCCGGAUUUAUUGGGUUUAAAGGGAGCGUAGGUGGAUUGUUAAGUCAGUUGUGAAAGUUUGCGGCUCAACCGUAAAAUUGCAGUUGAAACUGGCAGUCUUGAGUACAGUAGAGGUGGGCGGAAUUCGUGGUGUAGCGGUGAAAUGCUUAGAUAUCACGAAGAACUCCGAUUGCGAAGGCAGUUCACUGGACUGCAACUGACACUGAGGCUCGAAAGUGUGGGUAUCAAACAGGAUUAGAUACCCGUGUAGUC